AUUGAACGCUGGCGGCAUGCUUUACACAUGCAAGUCGAACGGUAACAGGUUAAGCUGACGAGUGGCGAACGGGUGAGUAAUGCAUCGGAACGUGCCCGGUCGUGGGGGAUAACGCAGCGAAAGCUGCGCUAAUACCGCAUACGAUCUGAGGAUGAAAGCGGGGGACCGUAAGGCCUCGCGCGAUCGGAGCGGCCGAUGUCAGAUUAGGUAGUUGGUGAGGUAAAGGCUCACCAAGCCAACGAUCUGUAGCUGGUCUGAGAGGACGACCAGCCACACUGGGACUGAGACACGGCCCAGACUCCUACGGGAGGCAGCAGUGGGGAAUUUUGGACAAUGGGCGAAAGCCUGAUCCAGCAAUGCCGCGUGCAGGAAGAAGGCCUUCGGGUUGUAAACUGCUUUUGUACGGAGCGAAAAGGUCCCCUCUAAUACAGGGGGCUCAUGACGGUACCGUAAGAAUAAGCACCGGCUAACUACGUGCCAGCCGCCGCGGUAA
rnacentral:rRNA from 1 species